rnacentral:rRNA from 1 species
GACGAACGCUGGCGGCGUGCUUAACACAUGCAAGUCGAACGGAAAGACCCUGCUUUUGCUGGUUUCUCGAGUGCCGAACGGGGGAGUAACACGCGUGUAACCUGCCCCUGUCUUUGGGAUAUCUUCAGGAAACUGCGGCUCUUAUCGCGUAGGAUCUCUUGCUCCAUAUGGGUGGUUAGUGAGUUUCGGCGGUGGGGGAUCGAAUGGCGGGUUAUCAGCUUGUUUGUGGGGUAGUGGCUUACCAAGGUUUUGACGGGUAGCCGGCCUGAGAGGGUGACCGGCGACCUUGGGACUGAGAGACGGACCAGACUCCUACGGGAGGCAGAAGUGGGGAAUCUUGCACAGUGGGCGGGCGUCAGAGGCAGCAACGCCGCGAGCGGGAUGCCGGGCUUCGGGUUGUAAACAGCUUUCGCCUGUACCGAAGCGUGAGUGACGGUACUGGGUAAAGAAGCACCGGCUAACUACGUG